UUAAGCAUAUCAAUAAGCGGAGGAAAAGAAACUAACAAGGAUUCCCCUAGUAACUGCGAGUGAACCGGGAAAAGCUCAAAUUUUGAAUCUGGCGGUCUUUUAGGCCGUCCGAGUUGUAAUCUAGAGAAGUGUUUUCCGCGCUGGACCGUGUAUAAGUUUCCUGGAAUGGAACGUCGUAGAGGGUGAGAAUCCCGUCUUUGACACGGACUACCAGGGCUAUGUGAUGCGCUCUCGACGAGUCGAGUUGUUUGGGAAUGCAGCUCAAAUUGGGUGGUAAAUUCCAUCUAAAGCUAAAUAUAGGCGAGAGACCGAUAGCGAACAAGUACCGUGAGGGAAAGAUGAAAAGAACUUUGGAAAGAGAGUUAAACAGUACGUGAAAUUGCUGAAAGGGAAACGCUUGAUGUCAGUCGCGUUCGCCGGGGAUCAGCCUUGCUUAAUCGCUCGGCGUACUUCCUGGUGGACGGGUCAGCAUCAGUUUUGACCGUCGGAAAAUGGCAAGAGGAAUGUGGCAUUCUUUCGGGAGUGUGUUAUAGACUCGAGUCGAAUACGAUGAUUGGGACUGAGGAACUCAGCACGACCUUAGGGUUCGAGACUUCGGUCUACGUUUGCGUGCUUAGGAUGCUGGCAUAAUGGCCUUAAGCGACCCGUCUUGAAACACGGACCAAGGAGUCUAACGUGCAU
rnacentral:rRNA from 1 species